CCUACGGGAGGCAGCAGUGGGGAAUAUUGCACAAUGGGCGCAAGCCUGAUGCAGCCAUGCCGCGUGUGUGAAGAAGGCCUUCGGGUUGUAAAGCACUUUCAGCGGGGAGGAAGGCGGUGAGGUUAAUAACCUCAUCGAUUGACGUUACCCGCAGAAGAAGCACCGGCUAACUCCGUGCCAGCAGCCGCGGUAAUACGGAGGGUGCAAGCGUUAAUCGGAAUUACUGGGCGUAAAGCGCACGCAGGCGGUCAGUCAAGUCGGAUGUGAAAUCCCCGGGCUCAACCUGGGAACUGCAUUCGAAACUGGCAGGCUAGAGUCUUGUAGAGGGGGGUAGAAUUCCAGGUGUAGCGGUGAAAUGCGUAGAGAUCUGGAGGAAUACCGGUGGCGAAGGCGGCCCCCUGGACAAAGACUGACGCUCAGGUGCGAAAGCGUGGGGAGCAAACAGGAUUAGAUACCCUUGUAGUC
rnacentral:rRNA from 1 species